AUCUAUUUCGUCUAAUGGUUAGGACGUUUCCCUUUCACGGAGACAAUAUGAGUUCAAUUCUCAUACUAGAUG
rnacentral:tRNA from 1 species